GGGACGAACGCUGGCGGCGUGCUUAACACAUGCAAGUCGAGCGGUAAGGCCUUUCGGGGUACACGAGCGGCGAACGGGUGAGUAACACGUGGGUGAUCUGCCCUGCACUCUGGGAUAAGCCUGGGAAACUGGGUCUAAUACCGGAUAUGACCUGCUCUCGCAGUGGGGGUGGGUGGAAAGAUUUAUCGGUGCAGGAUGGGCCCGCGGCCUAUCAGCUUGUUGGUGGGUAAUGGCCUACCAAGGCGACGACGGGUAGCCGACCUGAGAGGGUGACCGGCCACACUGGGACUGAGACACGGCCCAGACUCCUACGGGAGGCAGCAGUGGGAAUAUUGCACAAUGGGCGAAAGCCUGAUGCAGCGACGCCGCGUGAGGAUGAAGGCCGUUACGGGUUGUAACCUCUUUCAGCAGGACGAAGCGACAAGCGACGGUACCUGCAGAAGAAGCGACCGGACUAACGUACGUCGCCAGACC
rnacentral:rRNA from 1 species